rnacentral:rRNA from 1 species
GCCUUAGUGGCGCACGGGUGCGUAACGCGUGGGAAUCUGCCCUUGGGUUCGGAAUAACAGCGGGAAACUGCUGCUAAUACCGGAUGAAGACGAAAGUCCAAAGAUUUAUCGCCUGAGGAUGAGCCCGCGUUGGAUUAGGUAGUUGGUGGGGUAAAGGCCUACCAAGCCGACGAUCCAUAGCUGGUCUGAGAGGAUGAUCAGCCACACUGGGACUGAAACACGGCCCAGACUCCUACGGGAGGCAGCAGUGGGGAAUAUUGGACAAUGGGCGAAAGCCUGAUCCAGCAAUGCCGCGUGAGUGAUGAAGGCCUUAGGGUUGUAAAGCUCUUUUACCCGGGAUGAUAAUGACAGUACCGGGAGAAUAAGCCCCGGCUAACUCCGUGCCAGCAGCCGCGGUAAUACGGAGGGGGCUAGCGUUGUUCGGAAUUACUGGGCGUAAAGCGCACGUAGGCGGCUUUGUAAGUCAGAAGUGAAAGCCUGGAGCUCAACUCCAGAACUGCCUUUGAAAUGCAUCGCUUGAAUCCAGGAAAGGUGAGUGGAAUUCCGAGUGAGAGGUGAAAUUCGUAAAUAUUCGGAAGAAACCAGUGGCGAAGGCGGCUCACUGGACUGGUAUUGACGCUGAAGUGCGAAAGCGUGGGGAGCAACAGGAUUAGAUACCCUGGUAAUCCACGCCGUAACGAUGAAACUAGCUGUCCGGGGACAUGGUCUUUGGGGGCGCAGCUAACGCAUUAAGUUAUCCGCUGGGGAUAC